AAAAAAAAAAUAAGCUACAGGAAACAUACAAGGAAUAAAGCACAAACACACAAGUUUGGAUGAGACUGACCACACACAGCGUUCUUCAAACUGAAAGGCUUCGAAUCAAAUCUCUUCAAAUGCAGCAGCUCCAGCAUUUUUUUUUCAAGCAGCCCACAUGAAACCAGCCAGUUACACGUGCAGUGCUGACCUUCCAGAAAGAUAUUUCAAUGGAGAAACAUUGAAACAAGGAUUUCAUCACCUAGUAGUUUAAAAUCCAUUUGUGCAAGAGCCUCCCUGAAGAAUGUAAAUGAGUGGAAAUCCACAAGUCUAAUAAUACCAUCAAAUAUAGAUGUGCAAGACCUCAAUGAGGUUUCAGCACAUUACAGGAAUUCUCACACCAUAUCCACAAACCAGCAGUAGUAAUGAAAUUUUUAUUAUAAAACUGCAAAGAGCCAUUGGUUGCUUAAUAUUGGUUUCUUCUUUGUCCCAGUUUCUGAGUGGUAAUUAAAGAGAUGACUGCAAAAAAUUCAGACUUUUAAAUUAAAAUUUAUAUAUAUAUGUACACACCAGUUGCCCUGCUUGCCAUACAGACCCUUAUGAUUACUGCAGCUGGCCUCCUGCAUAAUCUAGAUUAUGAAAUUUCAUCAAGAGUGACCUGCAUCAAGCCUUUAACACGUGACAAGAAGUUAUGAGCUUUGGUUGAAAAACAACAAACUAUGGAAAAACGACCACAUUUGUAAAUAAGACCUUUCCAUGUAAACUACUACUAAAUUCACUAUUUAUUAGGCUUAACUAUUCAAGUCUCAUCUCUCAAUCAAUCUACAUCUAUGUGGGACAGAUAACAAAGGUCUCAGAUUCAAAUAACCUCUUGAAGCCACAGGUCUACAACACAAAGCACUUAAAUCUGAUUUCCCUUCCAGUUACAUUCCUUGAGGCAGAGUCAUUCUUCAAACUUUAACAUUGUCAUUUCUAAACUAAAUGCCACUGAGCUAUUUCACUUUAGUCUGUGAGGGAGUUUUUCCAGACAUCAAAUUGUUAUGGAGAUCUUUUCAGAGCCCUUUUCAGUGUGCCAGCAUCUUUUUCAUUAUAAAUCACAGACACCAAAACUGGACUUGGUACUCCAGUAACCAAAGCAUCCACAGAAUACACGUGGUUUGUUGUUUAUACACCAAACAAUCGUAUUUUUUUCUCUGAGCCAUCACUUUGGCAGCCCAUGUUUAACUGGCUGCCAACCGUGGCAACUUAGUUUGUUUCCAAUGUCAUCCACAUGGUGAUUUCCAUACUUUUCACUUGAAUCAUCUGCAAACUUCACAUACUACAGUUCUGUCCUCUUUUAAAUUAUCGGUGAAGAUACUAAAUUGAUUCAAAAAUACAACCUUUUUAUUUUCUUCAAACAGAUCAAGUACAAAAUUAUUUAUUAUGUCUGUUUUUUUUAUAAUCCUCUGUAUGUUGAGAUUUAGCCUGCUGUUAUUUCACUUGCAAAUAUUUUAAGCGGAGCAUCAGUGCAAAGUCUUAAGCAUCUAAGGAUGAUAUUUCAGCAGUUUGUCAAGUGAAGCUGUAAUCUCAUAAACAAAACUGAGCUUGACAAUUCCCAUCUUUCAGUGAUGUUACAAUCAAUCCCAUGUUUAUUAACUUCUCAGGUCGCCUGGGAGACUAGUAAAUCAAUUUUUCUAUCCUUCCCCUUUAAUCCAGCUAAAUGAAAUAGACUCUAAAGGGGAAACACCUUCCUCAAGGCACUAUUAUCACACUUGUGAAGCCAUUUGUGUGCUGCGCAGCCAGGAGAACUAUCAGAAUUUAAUCUAAAAAGUCAAUUUUUUAAGAGUCAAACUUCCAGCACAUUCCUUGAGGAAUAUGAGCAAGGGAACAGGAACCAUUUGUUAAAUUACCUGAAAGGAAAAUAUUCCUGUAAAGCUCAGUGGCAACAUGAUAUGAGGAAAUCAACUGGAUACAAAAAAUUGGCUUGUGCAUCAAGUGAUAGCUAAAAUAUAUUAGUAUUUAACAGAGAAUAAAAAUGCUAGCAUUUUAGAAGAAAAAUACCCCAAUGAAUUAAAUUAAUUAAAACCUGUUUCCCUCUCCCCAAAACCACAAUGCAGCACUUUUCAAAAAGCUUCAAAAUGAGAAAUUUCCAGUGAACUUUUCAUCAAGAUUCCCAGGCUAGCACACUUCUUGGGAAACCAAAUAGCAGCAGCAGAGACAAAUCUGCCUCUAGUCUCUGGCAAGGCUGCUGGGGCUUGUCUGAAAGAGAGAGGGAGAAUUUUGCACAGAAAAUUUGAAUGUGAGGUUUAUGGCUACUGCUUCUGUGCUUAAGCUUAGGCCACACACAUAAUGUCUUCAGUUUAUCUCCCCUAAGACAAAUGGUAAUUAUAAAAAAAAGUUACUGAGUUUGAAAUUAGAGGGUCAAAGGAAAGCAAAGCUGCUGUUUCAUUAAAGAAAAAAUACAGAAGGGAAACAGAGGAAAAAGAAAAGAAAGCAGAGAAAGAUAAGGAAGGGAAAAAAGGAGCCAGGAGGAGAAAGCAGUAACUUAGGCAGACGAAGUGUUACAAUUGCUGAUUAAUGUAACUGUUGAAAUACACAAAAUGUAUUCCAUUCAAUUUAACUACCCUCAUUUCAAAACUGGUUUGAUUACAGACAGCAAUAAGCAAUUUAGAUUGUUUUAACUGAAACAAUUUUUCCUCUCAGACCUGUUUCAGCUGCUGAUUUACAUACUGUUCUUUGCUUGUGCAGCAAAGCUAGGUCAGCUUCACAUUCUGCAAUAGCAGUGCUGUGUUGCAUGGUUUAUAUCAGCUACACAAAGUAUGUUAUUAGUAAAUGAAGGCUAAAACAAGCAACCAGAACUAUAAUAGAAAAUAAAUACAUCAGAAAAAUCACAGAUAGGCCACAUUUUCCAGUGAAAGUUUACAUGAAAAAAAUUCAAGAACCAAACCAUGUUAUUACACUGAACAUGCAUCUUUAAGUUUAAAGGCUAGAACUAAGAGAAAUCAAUAUGAUGACCCUCGCCAAAUAACUUAAUCUGUUUUACAUGUGAGGGAACUGAACAGCCCUACAAAGGCUGGAGAAAGAAAUAUAAAUGUUUCUGAGCAGAGCUUACUCCAAUGUUGGGCAGUGUGAUUAUACCAGAUUAUAUCAAGGUUUUCCUUCUGGCAUCUGUCAGGCAUAGUAACCAACACUGCCCUGGAAUCUGCUCCCUAUUUGCCAGUCUGAUUGGUUAGACAGCUUCCAGCAUUCUUAUGACAUAGACGUUACUGGUCAUGAGCACAAACCCUCGGUAUAACAUCAGAAACAGAUUUACAAACCAUUUCUUAAGGUUAAAUUUAUUGAAUUAAUGAGGAACAGAACUGUUUGCAAAGGGCAUGCUUGCGGCGUGAGGGAUCGACAGUGGUACUUACAAAAUGGCAUAAAAAUAGGAGUUAUUUAAAAAAAAAGUAAUCCAGGGUAGCUUUAAAGCAGCAGCAACUGGUGUUCUGAUAAACAGAGCAUACCAGAAUUUCAAAAAGAUUCAUUAAGGACAAUCACCCCAGAAAAAACAAGCAAGAGAGACUGGUGCCACCAGUAAAGUGCAGUGAGCUCUUCUAGUUAGGCUGGAGGAGAAAAUUUUGGUAGAGGUACAGAGGGCUGCUAUUUCAGGAAAAUAUUCUCCAGAACUCAAGAAAAUACUCUCCAGAACUCCCAUCUUUGCUCAAAAAAUAUACCCCAGGAAGCAUCCUACAGACAAAGUUCUCUCCCUUGUUUUGAAAUUAGUUUUGAAGAUGUGCAUUUUCCAUUCCUACCCAAAUAAGUUCUAUGGCCAAAUUUGCAGCCUGUAACUGAUGAUUAAAAAUAAAAGUAUAUUAUCACUGCAAUUCUUCCUGCUUUUUCUGUUCAUGUGCUCACAAGAAAUAACUUCUUCCUAUAAUUCUUCCCAACACAACACUGUAGGUGAAGUGCAGAUCCCCAAGGUGUUUACACACUUAGA